rnacentral:rRNA from 1 species
GACGAACGCUGGCGGCGUGCUUAACACAUGCAAGUCGAACGGAAAGGCCCUGCUUUUGUGGGGUGCUCGAGUGGCGAACGGGUGAGUAACACGUGAGUAACCUGCCCUUGACUUUGGGAUAACUUCAGGAAACUGGGGCUAAUACCGGAUAGGAGCUCCUGCUGCAUGGUGGGGGUUGGAAAGUUUCGGCGGUUGGGGAUGGACUCGCGGCUUAUCAGCUUGUUGGUGGGGUAGUGGCUUACCAAGGCUUUGACGGGUAGCCGGCCUGUGAGGGUGACCGGCCACAUUGGGACUGAGAUACGGCCCAGACUCCUACGGGAGGCAGCAGUGGGGAAUAUUGCACAAUGGGCGGAAGCCUAAUGCAGCAACGCCGCGUGCGGGAUGACGGCCUUCGGGUUGUAAACCGCUUUCGCCUGUGACGAAGCGUGAGUGACGGUAAUGGGUAAAGAAGCACCGGCUAACUACGUG